GGCGGCAGGCUUAACACAUGCAAGUCGAGCGGGGAGAUGUAGCUUUCUACAUAACCUAGCGGCGGACGGGUGAGUAAUGCUUAGGAAUCUGCCUAUUAGUGGGGGACAACAUUCCGAAAGGAAUGCUAAUACCGCAUACGCCCUACGGGGGAAAGCAGCGGAUCUUCGGACCUUGCGCUAAUAGAUGAGCCUAAGUCAGAUUAGCUAGUUGGUGGGGUAAAGGCCUACCAAGGCGACGAUCUGUAGCGGGUCUGAGAGGAUGAUCCGCCACACUGGGACUGAGACACGGCCCAGA
rnacentral:rRNA from 1 species